rnacentral:rRNA from 1 species
CCUACGGGUGGCAGCAGUGGGGAAUAUUGCACAAUGGGGGGAACCCUGAUGCAGCGACGCCGCGUGGGUGAAGGAGCACCUCGGUGCGUAAAGCCCUAUCGGCAGGGAAGAAAGGCGGGCGGGGCGCGUCUGGACGGUACCUAACUAAGAAGCCCCGGCUAACUACGUGCCAGCAGCCGCGGUAAUACGUAGGGGGAAAGCGUUAUCCGGAUUCACUGGGUGUAAAGGGAGCGUAGACGGCGACGCAAGUCUGGAGUGAAAGCCCGGGGCCCAACCCCGGGACUGCUCUGGAAACUGAGGCGCUGGAGUACGGGAGGGGCAGGCGGAAGUCCUGGUGUAGCGGUGAAAUGCGUAGAUAUCAGGAGGAACACCGGCGGCGAAGGCGGCCUGCUGGACCGUGACUGACGUUGAGGCUCGAGAGCGUGGGGAGCAAACAGGAUUAGAUACCCGUGUAGUC